rnacentral:rRNA from 1 species
AUUGAACGCUGGCGGCAUGCUUUACACAUGCAAGUCGAACGGCAGCGCGGGCUUCGGCCUGGCGGCGAGUGGCGAACGGGUGAGUAAUACAUCGGAACGUGCCCAGUAGUGGGGGAUAGCUCGGCGAAAGCCGGAUUAAUACCGCAUACGACCUGAGGGUGAAAGCGGGGGAUCUUCGGACCUCGCGCUAUUGGAGCGGCCGAUGGCAGAUUAGCUAGUUGGUGGGGUAAAGGCCUACCAAGGCGACGAUCUGUAGCUGGUCUGAGAGGACGACCAGCCACACUGGGACUGAGACACGGCCCAGACUCCUACGGGAGGCAGCAGUGGGGAAUUUUGGACAAUGGGCGAAAGCCUGAUCCAGCAAUGCCGCGUGUGUGAUGAAGGCCUUCGGGUUGUAAAGCACGUUUGGCGGGAACGAAAAGGACUGUGCCAAUACCACGGUUCGAUGACGGUACCCGCAGAAUAAGCACCGGCUAACUACGUGC